rnacentral:rRNA from 1 species
ACGGGAGGCAGCAGUGGGGAAUAUUGGACAAUGGGGGAAACCCUGAUCCAGCGACGCGUGAGUGAUGACGGUCUUCGGAUUGUAAAGCUCUGUCUUCAGGGACGAUAAUGACGGUACCUGAGGAGGAAGCCACGGCUAACUACGUGCCAGCAGCCGCGGUAAUACGUAGGUGGCAAGCGUUGUCCGGAUUUACUGGGCGUAAAGGGAGCGUAGGCGGACUUUUAAGUGGGAUGUGAAAUACCCGGGCUUAACCUGGGUGCUGCAUUCCAAACUGGGAGUCUAGAGUGCAGGAGGGGAAAGUGGAAUUCCUAGUGUAGCGGUGAAAUGCGUAGAGAUUAGGAAGAACACCGGUGGCGAAGGCGACUUUCUGGACUGUAACUGACGCUGAGGCUCGAAAGCGUGGGGAGCGAACAGGAUUAGAUACCCUGGUA